rnacentral:lncRNA from 1 species
UAGGGUGAAACCCUAAUAACCCAUGUCUUUUCCUUUCCAAGGAUCCAUGGGUUAAAAGCUCCAUGGAUCAUCCAUGGACUUCCAUAUAAGCCUAGCCCAUUAACAAAUGAGUGUUAGCCCACACUAUAUAAAACCAAUAGCCCACAAUCUAAUUAGUCUUCCUUUUAAUCUCUAAAUUAAUUCAUAAUUAAUUUAAGACUAAGACUAAUUAAAUAACAUGACUUCAUAUUAAUAUAUUAUAACUUAUAAUAUAUUAAUAAACUUAUGUGUAUAACUCUCAUAAAAUUAUCCAUAAAUAGUUNUUGUUGUCACAGAAAAUCUCUAUAGGUUCCUUAAUAGCUGGUACAACUCCAAGGUCUCCGAUGAAGUUCUUUAGCCAUAUCGCCUCCUUCGCUGCUUCACUCGCUGCUAUAUACUCUGAUUCACAAGUCGAAUCAGCCACCGUCUCCUGCUUGGAACUCUUCCAAGAAAUUGCCCCUCCAUUUAAGGUAAAGAUCCAGCCCGACUGAGAGCGGAAAUUAUCCCUAUCAGUCUGAAAACCAGCAUCACUAUACCCUAAUAUUCUCAAGUCAUCACUGCCACCAAGGGUAAGGACCCAAUCCUUAGUCCUCCGCAGGUACUUGAGAAUGUUCUUUACCGCGGUCCAAUGAGCCUUGCCAGGGUUCCCCUGAUACCUGCUGACCAUGCUCAAAGCAAAUGCCACAUCAGGACGGGUACAAGUCAUAGCAUACAUGAUCGAGCCAACUGCGGAAGCAUAUGGUAAUUGGCUCAUCUCAGCUAUCUCAGCCUCUGUACUCGGACUCUGAGUCUUACUCAGUUUGGUAUUGCUUUGGAUCGGUAAAUCUCCUUUCUUGGAAUUCUCCAUGUUGAACCUUUUCAACACCUUAUCCAAGUAGAUACUCUGACUAAGUCCAAUUAGUCUUCUACUCCUUUCUCUUAAUAUCCUUAUCCCUAGGAUAUAGGUAGCCUCCCCUAGGUCCUUCAUAGCAAAGCACUUCCCAAGCCAGGACUUAACCUCCUGCAAGGUUGGGAUGUCAUUUCCUAUGAGUAGUAUGUCAUCCACAUACAGUACCAAGAAGCUAACUAUACUCCCACUAGCUCUGACAUACACGCAAGACUCAUCUUCGCUUCUCAAGAAGCCAAACUCUUUUACCUUCUCAUCAAAACAAAGAUUCCAGCUACGAGAUGCUUGUUUUAAUCCAUAAAUGGAUUUCUUAAGCUUGCAUACUCUAUUAGGGUACUCUGCAUUGACAAAACCCUCUGGCUGAUUCAUGUACACAUCCUCAGCCAACUUUCCAUUAAGGAAAGCGGUUUUGACAUCCAUUUGCCAUAUUUCAUAAUCAUGAAAUGCUGCAAUGGCUAACAUAACCCUAAUAGACUUAAUCUUGGCCACCGGCGAGAAGGUUUCAUCAUAAUCAAUACCUUGAGUUUGAGUAAAACCCUUCGCAACCAGUCGAGCCUUAUAAGUAUGCACUUUUCCUUCCAUGUCGGUCUUCUUUUUGAAGAUCCAUUUGCACCCGACUGUUUUACGGCCUGGUACAUUGUCAACCAAGUUCCAAACUUGAUUGUCAUACAUGGACUGUAUCUCGCUGUCCAUAGCCUCCUUCCAUUUAGCAGACUCCGGGCCUGCCAUGGCUUCCUUAACACUGCUAGGUUCAUCCAAAUUUACUAGUGUACUAUCACUAAUAAACGUAUCACCUUCCGUAGUAAUAUGAAAACCAUAAUAAAACGAAGGUGUGUUCCUAACCCGUGUGGAACGUCUCGGAGGUACAGACUCGUCAGCUGGAUCAACAGGAGUUUCUUCCUCAGGUUGAUUGCUAGUGUCUGAGGUUCCUUCACCAAUUGAUUCUUGAAUUUCUUCAAGAUCAAUCUGCCUCCCACUGUCUCCUUGGCUUAUAAAUUCUUUCUCGCGAAAGAUCCCUCUUCGUGCUACAAAGACCACAUUCUCACUGGGUCUGUAGAAAAGGUAACCGAAGGAUUUCUGUGGGUAGCCGAUGAAAAUACACCUUUCACUUCGGGGUUCAAGCUUAUCAUGAGUUUCACGCCUCACGAAGGCUUCGCAACCCCAAAUUUUGAUGUGGUCCAAAUUGGGAACCUUCCCAGUCCACAUCUCAUGAGGUGUUUUGGUAACCUUCUUUGUAGGGACUAGAUUAAGGAUAUGGGCGGCAGUCUCUAAGGCAUACCCCCAAAAAGAGAUUGGUAACGAAACUCGACUCAUCAUAGAGCGAACCAUGUCCAACAAGGUACGAUUACGCCUCUCAGCUACACCAUUCAGCUGUGGUGUCCUGGGAGGAGUCAAUUGUGAGACAAUCCCACACUCCUUAAGAUAGUCAAGGAACUCGGUACUAAGAUACUCACCACCUCGAUCGGAUCGAAGCAUCUUAAUGUUCCUGCCCAAUUGAUUUUCUACUUCCUGUUUGAAUUCCUUAAACCUUUCAAAGGUUUCGGACUUGUGUUUGAUCAAGUAGACAUACCCAUAUCUACUAUAAUCAUCAAUAAAAGUCACAUAAUACCGAUUAGCGUCCCUUGUGGCGGUUUUGAAUGGCCCACAUACAUCAGUAUGUAUUAGGUCCAACAAACCUUCACCCCUCUCACAAGUUCCAGUGAAGGGUGAUUUUGUCAUUUUUCCAAGUAGACAAGAUUCACAACUAUCAUCUGAUUUGAGGUCAAAUGAUUCCAAGACUCCACUCUUUUGGAGUUGGUCUAUGCGUUUCUUGUUUACAUGUCCAAGACGACAAUGCCACAAUGAUGCUUUAUCUAGGCUAGUAGAAGAAUCAAUAUACAACACAUUAUUUCCUAAGUUGUCUACAAUCGACACAGUUUCAUACACGCCAUCACAAGGUAAUGCUUUAAAAUAAAACACAUUAUUAAAGAAAGCAUUAAUACCACCACAUUCAUUAUCAAACGAAAAGGUAAAACCUUGUUUGUACAAAGCAUGAAAAGAAAUAAUAUUCCUCGCCAUUUCAGACGAGUAUACACAUUUAUUCAAAUCUAAUUUUAACCCAUUAUUAAGCAACAAAGUAUAAACUCCAAUCUUGGAAACAGGUGAAGCCUUCCUAUUCCCCAUGAUUAAGUUUAUCUUCCCGUGCUCCACAUCCUCACUUCUUCUUAGGCCCUGCAAAUCAGAACAUAUGUGAAUACCACAUCCUGUAUCAAGCACCCAAGAGUUAGAAUAUGUUGAGUAAUUAGACAAUAUAGUGUAAAUACCUGCAUAGGUGGGUUUCACUUUCCCAUCCUUUAGAUCCUGCAAGUACUUAGGGCAGUUUCGCUUCCAGUGUGCCUUUUCAUGGCAAUAAAAGCAUUCAGCAUCCUUUGGAAUGGCAGAAGGAGUGACAGAACCGUUCUUAGUCUUGGAUGAGGAGCCUUCAAGAGACUUUCCCUUGGUACCCUUCGAAGGGUGCUUCCUCUUUUUCCCUUUGCCUUGCCCAAUAGCUAAAACAGGGGUAGAAGUUGGAGUAGGAGUAGUAGAGGUAACAACCGCUUUACCCUUAAGACCGGUUUCAGCGGUCUUCAAGAGUCCUUGAAGCUUGCUGAGGGUAACUUCCUCCUUGUUCAUAUGAUAUGUCAUUCGAAAAUGAUCAUAACAAGAAGGCAAGGAGUGCAAAAUGAUGUCAAUUGCUAACUCCUCGGGGAUGUUAACAUUCAGCUUCAGCAAACGGUCCACAUACCUUUGCAUCUUUUGCAUGUGGCCCGUGACGGAUUCACCGUCCUUCAUGCGGGUAGUUAUUAUGGAGGAGAUUAUUUCAUACCGCUCCUGACGAGCACUCUGAUGGUACCUUUCCAUCAAGUCUUGGUGCAUCUCAAAAGGGUAGAAAUCUUCAUAUGACUUUUGGAGCUCGGCUGUCAUCGUGGCCAUCAUGAUACAUGCCACCUUAGUAGCAUCUCUCUCAUGAGUCCUGAAUUCAGCGAUCUCCUCAGGAGUAGCAGUAGACUCAUCAAGUUCUUUUAACUCCUUAUCGAGGACAUAUUCCUUGUCCUCGUAACGAGUAACCAUCCUGAUGUUCCUAAUCCAAUCCAUGAAGUUGGAACCAUCAAAGAUGACCCUCCCACAAAGAUUCAUGAGAGAGAAAGAACCAGUUGGGUUAGAGCCUGAAGCAUUAGUGUUGGAAGACAUCUGAAAGAAGAAAGUAAGUUUAGAUUAGAUAUUUAGGAUCCUUAAUAAGACACCCAAAUGUAAUAUUAAGGCUAGGAUCCAAUCACAAUAUAUUACACUUAGAAGAGGGAUGCCGUAAUCUAAGUAAUAAUAUAUUUGAAAGGUAGGCGAAUGACGAUUCACCAAUUUCCACCAUGAAAACGAAAUGAUUAAUUAGGUUUAAUUGGAUUUGAAAUUCCUAGAUUCUUUUGAGAUUCAUUGAACUUUUCAAUGGCAUGUUUCAAUCUCGAUUGUGCCCUUCAAGUUUUGUGACUGGGAUGCCGAGGAUCACAAAACAAGGUGUGAAUAACCAUGCUAACUCACUUGGUACUCCUAAUAUUAUCACCUAAUCAAUGUGCCGGUUAACCACACACGCUCCAUUGAUCUAUGACAACAUUAAGUUACCCUUCGUGAUCCUUACUAGUCUAAUUAGUGUGCCGGUUAACCACACACGCUCCACUAACGACUUGGUAAGGUACAAAGUGUGAAUUCCAUGGAUUAGCACCAUGUUCACAUUUUCCUAAAAUAACUAAGAUUGGGAAUUAAAAGAGUUUAGUUAUUUUAUAAUAUUCAUUAUACUUUUAAUGAGGAUUUAAAGUCGUUGUUCUACCCGUUCGGCUAACGACCCUCCACCGAUCAAGCAAGCGGUGGGUGAGAGUAUACACCCAUUAAGUCGCCAUUUUAUAGGCAACAACCUUAUACCCACCUUAUAGACCGGCUUCGUGAAUGAGGCCUACUAACGGUAAAACGACUUAUUCUUAUACAUAUAUAUAAUAAUUAACCAUUAAUGUUAUAAAUAGUAUAAGGGUUGAAUUUUAACUAUUAAAACUCUAAGGUUUGGAAUUAAAGUUUAUUAAAGUGUGUGAAACUUUACAAAUUCCAAAACUUGAGGACAAGUUUUGUAACUUUGCAAAACUCUUCAUUUCAUAACUUAUGAAUUAAAGGUUCAUAAAAAUGAAGACUCUUCAUUUUCAUGUAACUUAUGUGUUUUAAGUGUGUGUUAAAUGAAAGUGACCUUUGGUAAUCCAUAACUUGAGGACAAAUUAUGGACUCCAUUAAAACACAUAAAUGAUUAAGAAUUAAUUCUAAACAAUUCAGCAAAUAAUUCCUAUCAUUUUCUAAAUUCAUAAGAACAUGAACAUGAUCAUCAAAAAUUCAAGAAUUAUAUGAACACAUAAAAUCAUGGAUUUUUGAUAUAUGCUAUUGUAAAUGGAUUAGAACAACCAUUACACCAACUAAAAUAAGUUUUACAACACCAAAACAAUUUAGGGUAAUGUUUCCAGUCCAUUUCCAGCAGCAAAAGUCGAGAUUCUGCAUUCUUUCGAUCCUACUCGCCGAGUGCACGAACGGACUCGUCGAGUAGGUUGAAGUUUGCCUUGGACUCGGCGAGUCCCCCCAAUGGACUCGGCGAGUCUAGCAUGCAGACAGCAACGAUUUCAACUUUUUUCACUAUUUUGCAUCAAGUAUCAAACAAGCAAGCCUAGGCUCUGAUACCACUGUUGGGUUUUGAGCAAUCUAACACUUCCUAAGUGUGCAUGCAACCCUAAUAAACCUUGGAUCUAUGUUUGUCUAAAUACAUGCAAAAUAAUAAUUUUCCAAGGUUCAUAACCUAUCUAACAUGGCAUGGGGUACUUUUAAACAUAAAAGAAUUAGAUGAGAUUACAUACCUUUUGAUGAUGAGUUCAAUUCCUAAGGAGUUUGAGGGCCAAACACCAAUAGUGUGAAUGCCUCAAAUGGAAUCACAAAUCACCACAAACUCUUGGAAAACUUUGAGAGAGUGUAUACACACAUAGAAAAUCGGCCACACACACAAAACCACACUAGUGGCUAUUUCAUGCAACAUAAGCAUGCUUAUAUAGUGUACAUGGUUAGGGUGAAACCCUAAUAACCCAUGACCUUUCCUUUUCCAAGGAUCCAUGGGUUAAAAGCUCCAUGGAUCAUCCAUGGACUUCCAUACAAGCCUAGCCCAUUAACAAAUGAGUGUUAGCCCACACUAUAUAAAACCAAUAGCCCAUAAUCUAAUUAGUCUUCCUUUUAAUCUCUAAAUUAAUUCAUAAUUAAUUUAAGACUAAGACUAAUUAAAUAACAUGACUUCAUAUUAAUAUAUUAUAACUUAUAAUAUAUUAAUAAGAUAUGUGUAUAACUCUCAUAAAAUUAUCCAUAAAUAGUUCGGGUGAGAUGCAACCCAAAUGGACCAUGCCGAUCGGGUCAAGUAUAUACCAAAUAAGUUAUGGACUUAGACACCUUAUCCAACAAAAAUUUGGUCCAUCAACAAAAAGGAUUUG